UAUAGUAAUGCACUUAAGUGAAGGCUUAUGCUGGAUCUUGUGAGAACUUUGGGCAUGGGGCCUUUGUGGAGGUUUCAUUCCAUAGUAUGUAAGGGAGAAUGUCAUUUUCUCAUCAAAUGCUGCUUAAGAGCAAAUGGAGCAGUUUAGAUUCUGAGUGUCCUGGGGUACUUGCUGCAGUGUAGGAGGAAGGAGGAGGGCAGGAGAUGGAUCCAACCAUCAGCAGAAAGAAGGACUCUGCUGGCAGGCUUCAUGUGGUUUCCUCAAGGUGCCGUCUGAACCCCUCUCCCUCACUGUUUGUGUUACACACAUCAAAGAUAGACAGGAUUCCCAGUAAUUUGGGGUACUGCAGGAUCACAUUUCUUUGUGGUGCUGGAAAAGACUAGGUAGUCACAGUGCAUUUCAUACUUCAGCUGAACUGAUGGUCCUAGAGCUAUUUAACUGAGACAACAUUCAUUUUAUUCCAGAUUCACUUAGAGAGAAGGUUGUUGUGUUUGCUUUAUUAGUGCCUCUGUGAAACUCCAGUUUUUCUGUUUGUUAUUUUUUGGUCUCAUAUUUUUUAUGGAUGUCAUCCUGACCAGAGGGCUUCUUUUGGAGAAGAGCCUUCAGGAGAGAUGCAGCCCUGCCUGUGCCGAUCCCCAUGGUUUAAGGGCGUCAGUCUGCUGAGUCUGCUGUUGUUGUCUUGGGUCCAGGCAGGGGUCCCAGAAGUUCAACCCAAAGAAAGAGACACAUGUCUUUGUUCCAGGCUCCUCUGUUUAUUAUACUUCUGAGCAAAGCUUGCAGGAAGUGAAGCCCUCCAGCGUAACUGAGGAAAGGAGCUGUUUUCUCAAAUCUGUUUCUUAGAAUUUGUUCAGAGAUCAAGGUUGUCAGGAGUAGAAGGUCAGAAGCUUGUCACUUGUUAGGCAGUUUGUCCUUUUCAAUAAAUGGAUAUUUUGAGGUUUGCAAAACAUGUUUUGACAAAAAGAUUAAUUUCUCUGUAGAGAGAUAAAAGGAUUCUGAUAUCACUGUGCUGUUUUCAGCCAAGUUGUGGAUAGAGGACACAAAGUGAUUGUUUUUGUGUUGGUUUUUUUUUCAGUCAGUACCGACAAGGUAGCAAAAGAAAAAGCCGACCUGUGAGUGUGAAAACGUUUGAAGAUAUCCCAUUGGUAACCACUGUAAAAGUUGUUCAGGAGGAAAACCAGACAGACAGUGGGAUGGUUCUUGCAUCUGAAGAGCUGAAGACACUGGAAGAGCAAGAUAAACAAGUCAAAAUACCCUUCAGCACACUAGCGCCCAGCAAGAGCAAUGAGUCUGUCAUGUCCGAGGCUUCCAACCAGACAAGUGGCUACCAGUCGGGGUACCACUCAGACGACAUGGACACCAUGGUCUGUUCCAGUGAGGACACUGAACUCUUGUGUGCCCAGGAGGCCUCCCCGGUGCUGCCCCGUGCACAUGGCCUGGCAUAUGACAGCCCUGUGCCUCUUGCGUCCCCACCACUCUAGGCCGAAACUGGUGGCUCCAGAUCCCCUGGGAUGUGCCUUCCUUGCCUUGGCUGAUGGUAUUCACAUUUGGUGUGUACAGAGACUGUGGCCGUGGGCCUAGGGAAAGACAUUUAUUUUUUCAGGAAGAGG